GAUGAAGAACGUAGCGAAAUGCGAUAAGUAAUGUGAAUUGCAGAAUUCAGUGAAUCAUCGAAUCUUUGAACGCACAUUGCGCCCGCCAGUAUUCUGGCGGGCAUGCCUGUUCGAGCGUCAUUUCAACCAUCAAGCCCCCGGGCUUGUGUUGGGGACCUGCGGCUGCCGCAGGCCCUGAAAACCAGUGGCGGGCUCGCUAGUCACUCCGAGCGUAGUAGUUACAUCUCGCUCAGGGCGUGCUGCGGGUUCCGGCCGUUAAAAGCCUUUUACCCCAAGGUUGACCUCGGAUCAGGUAGGAAGACCCGCUGAACUUAAGCAUAUCAAUAAGCGGAA
rnacentral:misc_RNA from 1 species